GCAAUACAAAAGAUAAAUAUUUAUUCAGAACAAAACUUUAAACAAUCGAUUUUACAUUCUAAGACACAUGGAAAUAGCAAAACAUGAAGCAAAGGGAAGACAACAACUAAAAGAAAAGCAGUGUACUGUCUUUUCUACUUUAACUUGAUUAACACUUAGUUGACCCACUGCCCUCUGGCUUGGCCUAUUUCGGAAGUACAUUUUAGAGUUAAUAAUUCCGGUUUUCUCCUGAGAGUCAGGAGGCUACAGAUGAGCUCCAGUUAGCUGCUUCUCUGGGGGUUCUAGCUAUCGAGGCUGGGGUGCGAAUGUAAACCUUUGGCAGGUUUCCUUGCUCAGGAGCACCUCUAUUUCUCACAGACGGCAAUGAAUGGGGAAGGGGAGGGCCACAAAGGUCCUGGCCCACUUUAAUCCCGAGCCGGUAUCCCAGGGAGCAAUGAAUGCACCCUGGGUCAUAAUGUUUCUUUGUCCUUCCCUAUCUCCCAAGCGUUGAGAAGCCCCUGCCAAAUCUUCUGCUUCCUCUCCCACAUGAGUUCUUAGCCUUCCUCUGGGCUCAUUAUUCUGGAGAGAGCAGACUUUCUGGGCCCUCAAGUGUUGAGGAAAAUGUUGUGAAGUGUGAGAGGUAGUAGAAUGAGCACCGGGCUUGGGGUCAGGGGACUCUGCUCUAGGCUAGCUCUGGCACCAGACAGCUCUGUGAUUUUGACCCAGUCUUCUAACCUCUCUGGGCCUUGUUUCAUCUGUUGGAAAACCAGGGGAUUGGUCGAAACCAAUUUUUUGGUACUUUCCAGCAGGAAAAUUCUAGAUUCCGUGAUUCUGUGAAAAAUGGCUUCUGAGCCACUGAAAGUGCUGUCACCAAGUCCACGCAUUUUAAUGCCAUAAGAGAGGCCCUUGGCCACCAUGCAGAGCUUAUUGACUCAGAUUACAGACACUUCUAACAACACUGGUUUCACAAAUUCUCAGACCACACAGAUUAGAAGCAGCAAAUUAAAAGGGGUAAGGGAUGAGCUGCAAAAGAUAAGACACCCUGACAAAAGCCACAGUCAACAAUGUUCUCAGUUCAACAAACACUGAUGGAGUGCCUACCAUGUGCUGGGCCCCUACCUAGCGCUGGGGCGUAAAGAUGAGCAAGGCAGCCCAAAGGGUGGAUAUCCAGGGAGAAGACAAGGCGUGGGGAAUAAAAAGUACCAGAAAAAAAAAAAAAUCCUCGAAUACAAAACAGAAAACAAAGUUUAAAAAAGGGAGGGGCGACAUAUCUGCACGCUACAGUUCUCGGUCAUCGUUAGUGACAACAGUCACCAAAUUCAGUAAAGGCUGAAAUGGAGUAAACUCGGUUUAGGAAGGCAGAGUGAGACGUCUCUUGCAGGUUUAAGAAGAUCUCCUUCGAAGACGAUAAAAAAUGGUUUAAAAAAAAGUUUUGGCACUUAAGAGGGGUAAGCUGGCUCUGUGUUCACCUUGGCAGGCAGGCGGGUGUUCAGUGCCCGGCCACGCCGGUUAGCUGAGCUGCCACGGAAUUGUGAACGGCUUUGGGACACUGGGCAAAGGCGUGUCCUCGCUUGCCACAGAGGUUGCAGACGAUGCCCUUCCGGCAGUAAGGGCUCAGGUGCCCUUCCUCCCCGCACCUGAAGCACCUGUCCUGUGUGCAGCUGCCGCUCAUGUGGGUCCGGGAACCACAUUUAAAGCACGUCUUGGGCUGCCCUUUGUACCAACUGUAGCCCCUCUCGGCCCCCAGGAAGAAGGCCCCCGGCAGGUGCCUGACCCCGCCCUCCCCCUGGCGCAGCUCGAUCUCGCACUUGUACUCCCCGGUCCAGAUCCCAAACCUGUCGGUCACUUUCACUGGCACGGCCAGCACAUCGCAGUGGCGCUUGAGCCAGGUCACGAUGUCCUCCACGUCCACCGUCUCGUUCCGGAAGAGGAUGAAGAGCGUCUUCAAGCUGGACUUGCUCCGCCCCAGCACCACAAAGUUCUCCCAGCAGUCCUCCUGCUCGCGCUUCUCCUCGUAGACGCGUAGGAACAGGGCCAGUUUCUCCGCGGAGCGGAAGCUCACGUCGAACUCGCGGCUGCCGGGAAUCUGGAUAACCGCGUAGAUGUCGCUCGGGUCCAUGCCGAUGGAGCGCAGGAUGAGCGCGCCCACUACGAAGUCCCGGGUCGGGCAAGCGCCUUCGUCUCCCUGGAAACAGAUGCGCACGAGAAAGCGGCCCUUGCCCGGGCCCGCCCCGGGGCCCGUCGCCGCCGCCGUCUCGUCCUGGGGAGGCCGCUCGCCCGCCUCCUGCGCCGCCUUCUUCCUCCCGCCGCGGCGGCCGCGACUCGCGGAAUUCGCCCUUCUUUUCGGCCAGGUUCUUCACGACCUGGGCCCAGCCCAUCUUCUCGCGGCCGCCCUCAGCUUCCUCAGCCCUGGGCGCCGGGCGCCCGGGGGGCAGGAGCUGCGGCCGCCCCCUCUUCCUCUCCUCCUCCGCGCCGCCGCCGGUGGCCAUUUUACCUCCUUCCCAG
ensembl:lncRNA